AUUGAACGCUGGCGGCAGGCUUAACACAUGCAAGUCGAGCGGGGUGAUGGUGCUUGCACUAUCACUUAGCGGCGGACGGGUGAGUAAUGCUUAGGAAUCUGCCUAGUAGUGGGGGACAACAUCUCGAAAGGGAUGAAAAUACCGCAUACGUCCUACGGAGGAAAGCAGGGGAGCACUUGUGACCUUGCGCUAAUAAAUGAGCCUAAGUCGGAUUAGUUGGUUGGUGGGGUAAAGGCCUACCAAGGCGACGAUCUGUAGCGGGUCUGAGAGGAUGAUCCGCCACACUGGGACUGAGACACGGCCCAGACUCCUACGGGAGGCAGCAGUGGGGAAUAUUGGACAAUGGGGGGAACCCUGAUCCAGCCAUGCCGCGUGUGUGAAGAAGGCCUUAUGGUUGUAAAGCACUUUAAGCGAGGAGGAGGCUCUUUUGGUUAAUACCCAAGAUGAGUGGACGUUACUCGCAGAAUAAGCACCGGCUAACUCUGUGCCAGCCGCCGCCGUAA
rnacentral:rRNA from 1 species